AGGCCCCACCGUUGGAAGAAGUUCCUUAAGAACCCUGGAAGGGAGAGGAUCCAACAUACAAGUUGUUGGCUUUGAUGCUUUUAUCACCCUUUCAAGUUCCACCAAAGGAAUUGCCUUGAACUCCAAGAGAGUUGAGUCAGAGUUCACCAUCCUACUUGGCAGGACCCCAUCCUGCCCCACAGGAUGUGUAGGAUUAGCCGCAUGGCAAGCAUCAAUUUCCUCUCUAAUUGAUUGAAUCUUAUUCUCAAAGAAAUCCAUGAAUUCACCUGCCACGAUCGAUGAGCCUACGGUCUGAGUUUGUUUCUGAGUGAGACUCCUCACCGUGUCAAAAAGAAACUUAGGAUUGUUUCUAUUCAAAUUGAUGAUACUGGAAAAGUAGGCAUUCCUGGCAAUAGUCAGCGCACCCUUAUAGGUGAGCAGACUGUUAUGCCAUGCAAGAUGAAAGACCUCAAGUUUAGUCGAGCGCCAUUUGCGUUCAAGGAUCCUGCAAUUUCGCUUCAAAAUGCGCGUUUCUGUAUUUAACCAAGGGGCUGGUUUUUUCAAUGUUCGUUUUUUAGUUACGUUCGGAGCAACUGAAUCAAUGGCAACAGACAAGGCAAUGUUGAGGUCAUCAGUAAGGCACUCCACAGAACCACUAUAGUUACAGAGAGGUGCAAGUGAACCAGAUAACUUAUCUGCCAUAGCUGUAAUGGUUGUGAGGGGAAAAACGGUCUGUCUAGUUACUGGACCAGAUAAAAUGAGACGGAGAGGUAAUAAAGUCUGUCGGCACGAGGACCUUGGAUUUAUUAAGUAAAGUGGCAACGGUUAUACAGAGUCAUAAAGCGUGAGAAAUCAAAUAUGUCUAAGUCCCUAAUCAGCGCUGAUGGUUCGUCCGGAGCUUCGCCUCCGUGGAAGGUCUGCUUCAGAAGAAGGUGAAGAGUCCCUGUGUGAUACAGUUUUAUGCUGUAUCCUCCUCUCGAUGAGGUGUGUGCGUUUGAGGUGUGUGUGGUUCUGUGUGUUUUUGCUUGGCCUUGGCUCCCAGGCCCUGGUGUGUAUCCCUUGUGUUCUUCCUAACGGGGGAGAGCUUCAAAGUGUCUCCUGUGUGAUAAAUUAAUGUGGCUCUCCCGUUCUUGAGGAUGACUGGUGCAUUGUCUGAGUGUCCACCAUCUGCCAGCCUGGGAAAUGGGGCCUUCGGCUCCGGCCUUGACCUGACUAUAUAUUAUCAUGUUUGUGUUUGUUGGGUUAGAGCAAGAGUUGACUAUAUAUUGUAAUGUGUCUCCCAUGUGAUGUGCUCAUCAGGCUAGGGUAGGAGUUAGCU
rnacentral:lncRNA from 1 species